AAAAGAGGCCAUCCCAGACCGAAAGAAGAGUUUUCGGAGCUGGAGAGGCCACAGAAUGAGUGAGGCAUGACCACAGCUGGAACCCCAAAAUUCUCAUCCUCAGAUUUAUCAACAGGCUUCAGUGGAAAAGAUCUUCAGCUGGUCCCUUAACAAGUCUGUAGGAGCAUAUUGAGGAAGGCAAGGAACAUUCUGCUGCAAAAUCAGACAGAGUUUGGAAGGACG